GGUCAAGUUAUUAAGGGUGCAGGGCGGAUGCCUUGGCACUAGGAGCCGAUGAAGGACGUGAUAAGCUGCGAUAAGCUUCGGGGAGUUGCACGUAAACUUUGAUCCGAAGAUUUCCGAAUGAGGAAACUCACUUAGAGUAAUGUCUAAGUAUCAUUAAGUGAAUACAUAGCUUAAUGAGGGGAACUCAGGGAACUGAAACAUCUAAGUACCUGAAGGAAGAGAAAGAAAUUCGAUUCCGUAAGUAGCGGCGAGCGAACGCGGAUUAGCCCAAACCAAUAAAGUUUUCUUUAUUGGGGUUGCGGACAUAUCAUAACGAAGAGGUAUCGUAAUUGAAGAGGUUUGGAAAGACCCACCACAGAAGGUAAUAGUCCUGUAUGUUAAACGAGAAGACUUCAGAUAUGAUCCAGAGUACCACGGGACACGUGAAACCCUGUGGGAAGCAGGAGGGACCACCCUCCAAGGCUAAAUACUACCUAGUGACCGAUAGCGUAUAGUACCGUGAGGGAAAGGUGAAAAGAACCCCGGGAGGGGAGUGAAAUAGAACCUGAAACCCUGCACUUACAAGCUGUGGAAGCACAUUUCUUGUGUGACCGCGUACUUUUUGUAGAACGGGCCAACGAGUUACGUUAAGUAGCAAGGUUAAGCACUUAAGGUGUGGAGCCGUAGCGAAAGCGAGUUUUAACUGAGCGUUCAGUUACUUGACGUAGACCCGAAACCGGGCGACCUACCCAUGAGCAGGAUGAAGCGAAAGUAAAAUUUCGUGGAGGUCCGAACCCACGAGCGUUGAAAAGCUCGGGGAUGACUUGUGGGUAGCGGUGAAAUUCCAAUCGAGCCCGGAGAUAGCUGGUUCUCCCCGAAAUAGCUUUAGGGCUAGCCUCAAGGUGAGAGAUACGGAGGUAGAGCACUGAAUGUCCUAGGGUGUAUUGCACCUACCGAAGACUAUCAAACUCCGAAUGCCGUCAUCUUAUACUUGGGAGUCAGACUGUGGGUGAUAAGAUUCAUAGUCGAAAGGGCAACAGCCCAGAUCGUCAGCUAAGGUCCCUAAAUGUAAGUUAAGUGGUAAAGGAUGUGGGAUUGCACAGACAACCAGGAUGUUGGCUUAGAAGCAGCCACUCAUUCAAAGAGUGCGUAAUAGCUCACUGGUCGAGUGAUCCUGCGCCGAAGAUUUCCGGGGCUAAAACUUACUACCGAAGCUACGGCAUCAGUAAUGAUGGGUAGGGGAGCUUCCCAUACGGGUUGAAGCAUGACCGUAAGGACAUGUGGACAGUAUGGGAGUGAGAAUGUUGGCAUGAGUAGCGAGAUGUGGGUGAGAAUCCCACAGGCCGUAAACCCAAGGUUUCCAGGGGAAGGUUCGUCCGCCCUGGGUUAGUCGGGACCUAAGCUGAGGCCGAAAGGCGUAGGUGAUGGACAACAGGUUGAUAUUCCUGUACUACCGAUAACCGUUUGAGAGAAGGGAUGACACAGUAGGAUAAGCUAAGCACACUGUUGGUUAUGUGUGCCCAAGCAUUGAGGCAGUCAAAGUAGGCAAAUCCGCUUUGAUAAUGCUGGGAUGUGAUGGGGAGCGAAAUUUAGUAGCGAAGUAGCUGAUUUCACACUGUCAAGAAAAGUCUCUAUCGAGGUUAAAGGUACCCGUACCGCAAACCGACACAGGUGGGUGAGGAGAGUAUCCUAAGGCCAGCGAGAGAACUGUUGUUAAGGAACUCGGCAAAAUGACCCCGUAACUUAGGGAUAAGGGGUGCCACCAUCAGGUGGCCGCAGAGAAUAGGCCCAAGCGACUGUUUACCAAAAACAUAGGUUUCUGCUAAGUCGCAAGACGAUGUAUAGGAGCUGACGCCUGCCCGGUGCUGGAAGGUUAAGGGGAUCUGUUAGAGCAAUCGAAGCAGUGAACUUAAGCCCCAGUAAACGGCGGCCGUAACUAUAACGGUCCUAAGGUAGCGAAAUUCCUUGUCGGGUAAGUUCCGACCCGCACGAAAGGCGUAACGAUUUGGGCACUGUCUCAACAACAGACUCGGUGAAAUUGUAAUUCCGGUGAAGAUGCCGGAUACCUGCGACAGGACGGAAAGACCCCAUGGAGCUUUACUGUAGCUUGACAUUGGGUUUUGGUACUACAUGUACAGGAUAGGUGGGAGGCUUUGAAACCAGGACGCCAGUUUUGGCGGAGCCAUCCUUGGGAUACCACCCUUGUAGUACUGGGACUCUAACCAUAGGCCAUGAAUCUGGUCUUGGGACACUGUCAGGUGGGCAGUUUGACUGGGGCGGUCGCCUCCCAAAAGGUAACGGAGGCGCUCAAAGGUUCUCUCAGUACGGUCGGAAAUCGUACGUAGAGUGUAAAGGCAAAAGAGAGCUUGAUUGCAAGACAUACAGGUCGAGCAAGGAUGAAAAUCGGACUUAGUGAUCCGGUGGUUCUGCGUGGAAGGGCCAUCGCUCAACGGAUAAAAGCUACCCUGGGGAUAACAGGCUUAUCUCCCCCAAGAGUCCACAUCGACGGGGAGGUUUGGCACCUCGAUGUCGGCUCAUCACAUCCUGGGGCUGUAGUAGGUCCCAAGGGUUGGGCUGUUCGCCCAUUAAAGUGGUACGCGAGCUGGGUUCAGAACGUCGUGAGACAGUUCGGUCCCUAUCCGUCGCAGGCGUAGGAAAUUUGAGAAGACCUGUCCUUAGUACGAGAGGACCGGGAUGGACGUACCUCUGGUGUACCAGUUGUUCUGCCAAGGGCAUGGCUGGGUAGCUAUGUACGGAAUGGAUAAGCGCUGAAAGCAUCUAAGCGCGAAGCCAACUUCAAGAUAAGAUUUCCCACCGCAAGGGUAAGACCCCAGAAAGACUAUCUGGUUGAUAGGUCGAAGGUGUAAGUGCAGCAAUGUAUUUAGCUUAUCGAUACUAAUAGGUCGAGGACUUGACCAA
rnacentral:rRNA from 1 species